UACGUAGGGGGCAAGCGUUGUCCGGAUUUAUUGGGCGUAAAGAGCGUGUAGGCGGCCAGACAGGUCCGUUGUGAAAACUCGAGGCUCAACCUCGAGACGUCGAUGGAAACCGUCUGGCUAGAGUCCGGAAGAGGAGAGUGGGAAUUCCUGGUGUAGCGGUGAAAUGCGCAGAUAUCAGGAAGAACACCCGUGGCGAAGGCGGCUCUCUGGGACGGUACUGACGCUGAGACGCGAAAGCGUGGGGAGCGAACAGGAUAGAA
rnacentral:rRNA from 1 species